GAUUUUGUUUAUUGCGUAUUAUUUUGGUUUGUUUAUACGCAGGCCCUGCGGGAGUUUGGUUAGUUUUGGAUGCCAACAAUACCCUUCAAUUCAGGCGCAGUGGGAAUUUUUUUGCUGGUGAUUCGCAGUUGUGUCAGUUAAGUUUAAUGGUUAAAUAAUUUGUUUUUUAUUGCGCAUUUGGUUUUAGUGUUAGCGGUUUCUGGAUCGCAUUUGUGUCAGAUUAGUCCCUCGCAGCCGUCUCAAUCGUAGCUUCAUCUUUCUCCGCAGUCCGGUCGUCUGGAGUCACAGGAAGAGAUCCGUCC